AGCACCGAAGUCUUCGGAGGAGCAGCCGAGGGAGCUGGGGAGGGGGGAGGUUUAGGCUCGUGAGAAAGGGCGGCUGCGGAACCUUCCUGCGGCUCCCGGCAGGGAGGCUGGAGGCGGGUGGGAGUCGAUCUCCCGAGGGACAAGCCGUAGAAAAGAAGAGGAAACGGGCUCAAGUUGCGGCAAGGGAGGUUUAGAUCGGGUGUCGGGGGGAAAAACGGGGGUGUUGAAAAGGCACGUCGAUGUGGUGCUGAGGGACGCGGUUUAGUGGUGGCCUUGCCAGGGCUGGGUUAACAGUUGGACUUGAUGAUCUCAGGGUCUUUUCCAGCCAAAAUCCUUCUGCGAUUGGGCCAAGGUGCAUACACGGCCUGGGCACGUUCUCCCGAGUUGCUGGUGGUGUGAAUUGGACCAUCAAAAGUUAUUAGGAUGUCACAGUGAGUACCUACAAAGUCUAGUCGUGUGACUGGGUGACUCAAACCAGACUUGACAUCUUUCCCUUCCAGCCCAGGGAAGACCUGCAGGAGACUCAAAGAAAAAGAGAAGUGGCUGCUAUCACAAAAGACAUUGCCUGCCUUGUCUUCAGCUGCCAAGGCUCUUCUGGAGGUGUCUCACCAGCAAGGCCUGGAUCAUCUCCACUGUCCACCACCCUCUCUGCAGCAAAGGACACAUCUUUGGAAAGGAAAGCUCUCAUUUUGGCCUGGGUACCAGCAGGGGGAAAGCCAGUGUAACAAAACAAGUAACUGCUGAAAAUAAGACUGGCAGCAACACUCAGAGAUGAUCUAAGUCCACCCUCUCUUAAUAGCAGAACAAAACACCAAUCACCCUCAUUAAACCUAUUGACAUAAGUAACCUCAGACUAAUAGUUUGACAGUCCCUGGCCACCAACUUAUGGGCACGCAGAGAACAAACUCCUCUUGAGAAAGGCAAGACACUUCACACACACACUAGCCCAACCCAGCCCAGGGAGGCAAAACAAGCCAGCAGUGAAACUGCUGACCUUGUUACGGGCACAGUCUUUGCUUGGUUCUCUGAAUUUUAAGCUGCCAACACUUUGGGUAAGGGCUGUCUGAGAUCCUAGACUCUAAAAAAAGGAUAAUAUCCUACUUAGAUGCCUCUGCUGCUACUGACUCAAGCAUUUCAUAAAACAAAUACAUCCAACUGCUUUCCCUUUCCUGCUGGGACUACCAAUACACCCCACCAGCUGCUGUAGAUUUUGAAACAGAUGCAUCGCCAGGAACCGGAUCACAACAAUUUAUAUAACCCAGGCUAAGGGACACAAGGGGACAGGACCUUCAGUCACAGAUACCUCCUGGUCAUAAUUACCUGCUCGUAUGGAUGUGCUCUCUGCGGCUCUCCUGCUAAUUAAACAGCAGUGUGUGUCAUUCAUCAAAUGAAUUGGACUAGUAAAGCAACCAAGGUCAUUAAAGCAAGACUUCAGCUGAAA